AGGGUGCAGGGCGGAUGCCUUGGCACUAGGAGCCGAUGAAGGACGUGAUAAGCUGCGAUAAGCUUCGGGGAGUUGCACGUAAACUUUGAUCCGAAGAUUUCCGAAUGAGGAAACUCACUUAGAGUAAUGUCUAAGUAUCAUUAAGUGAAUACAUAGCUUAAUGAGGGGAACUCAGGGAACUGAAACAUCUAAGUACCUGAAGGAAGAGAAAGAAAUUCGAUUCCGUAAGUAGCGGCGAGCGAACGCGGAUUAGCCCAAACCAAUAAAGUUUUCUUUAUUGGGGUUGCGGACAUAUCAUAACGAAGAGGUAUCGUAAUUGAAGAGGUUUGGAAAGACCCACCACAGAAGGUAAUAGUCCUGUAUGUUAAACGAGAAGACUUUAGAUAUGAUCCAGAGUACCACGGGACACGUGAAACCCUGUGGGAAGCAGGAGGGACCACCCUCCAAGGCUAAAUACUACCUAGUGACCGAUAGCGUAUAGUACCGUGAGGGAAAGGUGAAAAGAACCCCGGGAGGGGAGUGAAAUAGAACCUGAAACCCUGCACUUACAAGCUGUGGAAGCACAUUUCUUGUGUGACCGCGUACUUUUUGUAGAACGGGCCAACGAGUUACGUUAAGUAGCAAGGUUAAGCACUUAAGGUGCGGAGCCGUAGCGAAAGCGAGUUUUAACUGAGCGUUCAGUUACUUGACGUAGACCCGAAACCGGGCGACCUACCCAUGAGCAGGAUGAAGCGAAAGUAAAAUUUCGUGGAGGUCCGAACCCACGAGCGUUGAAAAGCUCGGGGAUGACUUGUGGGUAGCGGUGAAAUUCCAAUCGAGCCCGGAGAUAGCUGGUUCUCCCCGAAAUAGCUUUAGGGCUAGCCUCAAGGUGAGAGAUACGGAGGUAGAGCACUGAAUGUCCUAGGGGGUAUUGCACCUACCGAAGACUAUCAAACUCCGAAUGCCGUCAUCUUAUACUUGGGAGUCAGACUGUGGGUGAUAAGAUUCAUAGUCGAAAGGGCAACAGCCCAGAUCGUCAGCUAAGGUCCCUAAAUGUAAGUUAAGUGGUAAAGGAUGUGGGAUUGCACAGACAACCAGGAUGUUGGCUUAGAAGCAGCCACUCAUUCAAAGAGUGCGUAAUAGCUCACUGGUCGAGUGAUCCUGCGCCGAAGAUUUCCGGGGCUAAAACUUACUACCGAAGCUACGGCAUCAGUAAUGAUGGGUAGGGGAGCUUCCCAUACGGGUUGAAGCAUGACCGUAAGGACAUGUGGACAGUAUGGGAGUGAGAAUGUUGGCAUGAGUAGCGAGAUGUGGGUGAGAAUCCCACAGGCCGUAAACCCAAGGUUUCCAGGGGAAGGUUCGUCCACCCUGGGUUAGUCGGGACCUAAGCUGAGGCCGAAAGGCGUAGGUGAUGGACAACAGGUUGAUAUUCCUGUACUACCGAUAACCGUUUGAGAGAAGGGAUGACACAGUAGGAUAAGCUAAGCACACUGUUGGUUAUGUGUGCCCAAGCAUUGAGGCAGUCAAAGUAGGCAAAUCCGCUUUGAUAAUGCUGGGAUGUGAUGGGGAGCGAAAUUUAGUAGCGAAGUAGCUGAUUUCACACUGUCAAGAAAAGUCUCUAUCGAGGUUAAAGGUACCCGUACCGCAAACCGACACAGGUGGGUGAGGAGAGUAUCCUAAGGCCAGCGAGAGAACUGUUGUUAAGGAACUCGGCAAAAUGACCCCGUAACUUAGGGAUAAGGGGUGCCACCAUCAGGUGGCCGCAGAGAAUAGGCCCAAGCGACUGUUUACCAAAAACAUAGGUUUCUGCUAAGUCGCAAGACGAUGUAUAGGAGCUGACGCCUGCCCGGUGCUGGAAGGUUAAGGGGAUCUGUUAGAGCAAUCGAAGCAGUGAACUUAAGCCCCAGUAAACGGCGGCCGUAACUAUAACGGUCCUAAGGUAGCGAAAUUCCUUGUCGGGUAAGUUCCGACCCGCACGAAAGGCGUAACGAUUUGGGCACUGUCUCAACAACAGACUCGGUGAAAUUGUAAUUCCGGUGAAGAUGCCGGAUACCUGCGACAGGACGGAAAGACCCCAUGGAGCUUUACUGUAGCUUGACAUUGGGUCUUGGUACUACAUGUACAGGAUAGGUGGGAGGCUUUGAAACCAGGACGCCAGUUUUGGCGGAGCCAUCCUUGGGAUACCACCCUUGUAGUACUGGGACUCUAACCAUAGGCCAUGAAUCUGGUCUUGGGACACUGUCAGGUGGGCAGUUUGACUGGGGCGGUCGCCUCCCAAAAGGUAACGGAGGCGCUCAAAGGUUCUCUCAGUACGGUCGGAAAUCGUACGUAGAGUGUAAAGGCAAAAGAGAGCUUGAUUGCAAGACAUACAGGUCGAGCAAGGAUGAAAAUCGGACUUAGUGAUCCGGUGGUUCUGCGUGGAAGGGCCAUCGCUCAACGGAUAAAAGCUACCCUGGGGAUAACAGGCUUAUCUCCCCCAAGAGUCCACAUCGACGGGGAGGUUUGGCACCUCGAUGUCGGCUCAUCACAUCCUGGGGCUGUAGUAGGUCCCAAGGGUUGGGCUGUUCGCCCAUUAAAGUGGUACGCGAGCUGGGUUCAGAACGUCGUGAGACAGUUCGGUCCCUAUCCGUCGCAGGCGUAGGAAAUUUGAGAAGACCUGUCCUUAGUACGAGAGGACCGGGAUGGACGUACCUCUGGUGUACCAGUUGUCCUGCCAAGGGCAUGGCUGGGUAGCUAUGUACGGAAUGGAUAAGCGCUGAAAGCAUCUAAGCGCGAAGCCAACUUCAAGAUAAGAUUUCCCACCGCAAGGGUAAGACCCCAGAAAGACUAUCUGGUUGA
rnacentral:rRNA from 1 species